GACGUAGGGGGCCAGCGUUGUUCGGAAUUACUGGGUGUAAAGGGUUCGUAGGCGGUGCGGCAAGUUGGGAGUGAAAUCUCUGGGCUUAACCCAGAGGCUGCUUCCAAAACUGCUGUGCUUGAGUGUGGGAGAGGCGCGUGGAAUUGCAGGUGUAGCGGUGACAUGCGUAGAUAUCUGCAGGAACACCCGUGGCGAAAGCGGCGCGCUGGACCACUACUGACGCUGAGGAACGAAAGCUAGGGGAGCAAACAGG
rnacentral:rRNA from 1 species